GCACAGGCAAGGAGGGGGCGGCGGGGAGGGGCUUACACGCCCCUCUAACCCCCCGGUCGAAAGUACUGGAACUGCCCUUGCAAGAGGAAGCUGGCGGGCUGCUUUAUGUUUUAGGUGGCAUCGUGGGUACCGCAUGAAGUUUAUGCAUUAUUUUCUUCGCAUUUGGUCAGAACUGCAUUUGUCUUCAUGAAUAGAAAAACCAAUGAAGAACGUCUUAAAUGAUAAAAUAAUGACUGGCUCACAAAUGCUCCUCGAUUACUGCACAAUCGUUCCUAAAAGUGGUCACCUCGUCCCGGUUUCCCCCACGGGUUGGUGAGGGAGCCUGAGCCUCGGCUCUUCAAACAUCUGCGGAUUAAAUACUGUCCCCGAGGGUCCUUCUGCCCAAACCCGCGAAUCACCUUCGGCAAUGACUGACUCUAGGAAGACGCUUCGUUCUCCCGGGAGUUGUGCGCAUGAACCGGCUGUUGGAUGAAUGUACAGUGUGGCCGUUACCUGAUCUGCUUAAGAAUUCGAUGACCCGGGUAAUGGAGCCACACUUUUGGAAGGUCCUCGAAGUUCCUGAAACCUUGGAUCACUCCAGCCCUUCCUGGAGAAGAACACCAUGUCUGAAAAGUUGUGGGGGUUUUCCCCUGCCUUAAAAUGGACCUCAGAAAUCCUCCACCAGACAGAGCAGCAGAAUCCUCUGUAUCUAGAUGUGCCUGACGUAAAAAUGUCAAAUAGCUCCUCAACAGAAACACAUAU